AAAAAAGUAUACCUAUUUUCUUUUCCUAGAAGUUGCACAUAUUUCUGUUUCAUGUGACAGAUUCAUCUCUGUAUCUUCUGACAGCUUAGGUCUUCAGAAGACCUUUCAUCACCAAAGAGAAAGACAUGUUAAUACUGGUAGGUUUGCCGAAGGAUUUCUACUGUUGGAUAGUAAAAGCUCAACUGACUGCACUAAUUUAGCUGUUCUAUUUAGAAAUACCACAGCAUAAUAUUGGAAAUACUGUAUAAAAAUGAGAACUUUUUGUCACUCUUAAGAUGUAAUUGCUGUGCUAGGAUAACUGUAACCUAAAAAUUACCUUCUAACCUAUGAGACAGGCCUUUCCAGUGACAUGAAAAUAUACUCCAGAGAAAGGCAGUUUUAUGAAAGAGCAAAAGGACACAGGAAGAGGAGAAAUGAAGCAAUGAAUGGAUUUACAACUGAGAUUCAGCUAUAAAAAUCUUGGAAACUUGCAGCCUAGUAGAAUUGUGACUUGUAUCCUUGGGUAUUUCUUUGACUUGUGUUCUCUUAAGGGAACAAUUUGUCCCAGAAUUUGGCAGCCUGGACAGCCUGCAGUUUUUACGAAUCCUCCUGAUGGGAAUGAAGUUUUGGCAGCUGAUGGAAUCACAGAGGAGUGAAAUUUUGCUGGCUUUUGAUUAUUUUAUUUCUGAGUUACCCCAGUGCAAGAUUAUUGAGGAGCUGAAGAUGUCAGUUCUUGGUGGAAA